rnacentral:rRNA from 1 species
AACGAACGCUGGCGGCAGGCUUAACACAUGCAAGUCGAGCGAGACCUUCGGUCUAGCGGCGGACGGGUGAGUCACGCGUGGGAACGUGCCCUUCUCUACGGAAUAGCCCCGGGAAACUGGGAGUAAUACCGUAUACGCCCUUUGGGGGAAAGAUUUAUCGGAGAAGGAUCGGCCCGCGUUGGAUUAGGUAGUUGGUGGGGUAAUGGCCCACCAAGCCGACGAUCCAUAGCUGGUUUGAGAGGAUGAUCAGCCACACUGGGACUGAGACACGGCCCAGACUCCUACGGGAGGCAGCAGUGGGGAAUCUUAGACAAUGGGGGCAACCCUGAUCUAGCCAUGCCGCGUGAGUGAUGAAGGCCUUAGGGUUGUAAAGCUCUUUCAGCUGGGAAGAUAAUGACGGUACCAGCAGAAGAAGCCCCGGCUAACUCCGUG